rnacentral:ncRNA from 1 species
GAUAAGUUUUAUUUUGGCUUUAAAUUUUAAUUUAUAAAUCAAUUUAUAUGUAAGUUUUAGCGUAAUUAAUUUUUUAGAUGGGGAUUAUUUUUAUGUAAGAAAAGCAAUAACUAGUUUUGUACAAUAAAGGAGAUUUUGAUACAAAAAUUUAUAUAAACAUUGGCUAAAUUUGUGCCAGCAGCCGUGGUUAAACAGAUGAUGUGAUUAAAUUUUUUUAGGUUAGAUAAUAAACAUGAUAAAAUUAUUAGUUAACUUUAAAUUAUUUUUAGUAAGUGAAAUUAGAAAUUUAAAUUAAGUUAAUUUUAAAUUUGUAAAGUUAUGAAAUUUCAUUAUUAAACUAGGAUUAGAUACCCUAUUAUAAGAAGUGUAAAUUUAGAUACCAGAGUAUUAUCAGUUAUGUUCUUGAAAUUUUAAAGAUUUGACGGUAUUUUAAGCCUAUUUAGAGGAACCUGUUCUAUAAUUGAUGAUCCACGAUUAAUUGUACUUUAUUUAUUAGUUUGUAUACCGUCGUUAUUUGUAUGUCUUUAAAAAGUAAAUAAUGUUCAUAAGUUAUAAUUUAUAAAAUAAAUCAGAUCAAGGUACAGUUUAUAAUAAAGAAGAAAUGGGUUACAAUAAAUUUAUUUUUAUGGAUUUUAUAAUUAACAUUAUAAAUGAAAUUGGAUUUAAUAGUAAAUUAUUUAAGUUAAAAUAUUUGAUUAAAGCUCUGAAAUAUGUACAUAUCGCCCGUCGUUUCCAUUGAAAAUUAAAUUGGAAUAAGUCGUAACAUAGUAGGUGUACCGGAAGGUGUACCUGGUUAAAC